rnacentral:lncRNA from 1 species
GCCAAUUCAUAAACUUUUUUGAAGGUGGGAGGGUCCCUUUAAUCGUAUUUGUGUUAAUUAACGUAUUCUGUCAAAUACCGGUGUCCUACUUUGGUGCCGUCCAUUCUUAAAAUCAUCAGUUCACUUGCAGACGAUGAUUAGAAGCUUUGCUUCCAAUGGAAUGCACGAAGCAAUGACUGCAUAAUGCAUUCUUUGUUUUAAAAACAAAACUGUGCAAUAAAAUUUGCACAAAACUUGUUCGAUAUCUAAUCUACCUUUGGUGGCUUCAGCUUACCUGACAGUUCAUUUAUGUAUCCACAUUGCUAGGAAGCAUAUCAUCCGUCUAAUCCAAACAUAAACUAUUCUCGUUGUUGAAACUGGUGACGCACAAGCUGACGUAACGUUAGUGGAGACUUCAUCUAAAAAAACAGCCUGCAUGGGCUAAAAUCCCGGGGGGCGCGUAUGGCUCGUAUCAUUUGCGAGGCACGCGACGGGAGCCUUGAGGAGCUUUCCAUGCUAGAGCGCCUCUAAACCCAGGUCUCACUUGGAGAUCGAUCUCACUCGGAGAUCACGAGUCUGUUGUAGAGUGGCGUCAUUUUACGUCCAGUCCACCGAACCAGUGUGCACAAUUGCUGGCGGUGGAUACCAGACUCCCCCCACGGGUCGUCAUGUGCGAGGCAAGGUCGGGGAUAAGAUAUCACGGCAGCAAUUGAAGAUAAAAUUGAGUUUAUUCAUGUAAAUGCUAUUAGGCUGCUACAUUUGCACAAUGAGUGAGUGCAAAGCUUCUCUUUAAUUGAUAUUUAUCAUUAUCCAAGCAGACUAUUGCCUGAUACGUCUGAGUCUACAUUCACUUCAUCCAGGAAAAUGCUUCAAAAUCGCGUUUUUCGUCGGUAAAUAGCAUUGCAACCUUGCGUCAGUUGACACAAGCUUUCACUGCCGCAUCCGGAAUCUCAGUGCAUAGCUGUCUAUGCAUCAUGAGCUUAGGUAUUGUUUCCUUUUUCGUUAGAUCAUGCUUCAACUUGUAGCGCUUAAUCGCUCAUGCCACAACAAAGUUUGCGGACUUGUUAAAGGUUAAAAGAAAAUAUAUUUCCUUCAACAGAUGUCCGUCAAAUGAGGCUACAAAUGAGCUGUUUUCUUCUGCCAAUUAUGUUACUAUAGCACGUUGCUAAUGGAAGGCGGUCAUUUGCAUUUGCAGUUGUGCCUCAUCAUCACUUAUUUGCCAAACGCAAUUUCAAUUGCUGCUGUUAUCCCCGGCUAUAGUGUCUACGGUGGCGAGCUUUCUCCGCGGACCUUCAACUUCAAGACCUUCUACUUCAAGACCUUCAACUUCUAGACAACUAAAGGGAUAUUCUCGUCAUACUGUACUCUCGAUGACCUGCAUGUCGGGCGUGCCAUGUCCUGAGGAGCGUUGUUUUCAAUACCCUCAGUGCACAUACUGCACCAGACUAUAUUUACGGACGUUGACUGUUUGUUUUAGGCACUGUUUCAAGCAUUGUACGAUGGCCGAAAACAAAAGUAUUUGUUAAGGUUUUAAGUGCCAUUCGGAAUAUCCGAAACUACGACGCAAUGUUAGUCGGAAAUAACGUAUAUAGUUAAUCAUGUUAUCGCAUGAUGUUCUUGUUCAUUGGCAAACAUUAUUUCAGCAGUCGAUACGUCCUCCAAACUUCAGUAACUGUUACUAUAUAGUCCCCGUUCGUCACAAACAACCGUUGACAUUUCGUCAACCUCAAAUUCGAAUAUAUUAACCGUUUACACGCACGAGAAUAUCCCUUUAUCCAAACUAGCAAGUGUGUCUACUGUUUUCUUACUAGGCAAACAAAAGUUUGUCACAGCAUGUGCGCAGUUCACUUUACCUAUGUGCAUUCAUACUAAAAGCCAUUCGUCCACAAGCAAGUUAUUUAUUUGCGCUAUUGACGUAAGCUUUCAUGAAGGCCAAACCAAUGCUGAUUCGUCAAUGCUGAUUGUCAGCUUGAAAGUAAAGAUGAGCAAAGUGGUUCAACUGAAUCUUAUGGUUGCAGUAGGGCAUAUUAGAAGUAAGUGACAAGUAUGUGUCAGCAAUUGCUUAUGCUUCUUAACCCUAGAUACUUUUGAUUCGAUCCUUUUAGGUGAUGACGUAAUGUGGCAGAAAACAGUAGACACACUUCAUCUCAUCGGAAACCCUGAAUGAUUGGUAUUUGUGAGCAUGUGUGCCUGUGAGUGUGUAAGGGUGGAUGUGGGUGUGUGGGUAUGUAUGUGCGUAUGUGAGGAUGUGCGUGUCAUCUUACAAGUAAUUUAGUGAAUGAGUGCAUAGGUACUAGUUUUCAAGUAAAUACGUGCAUGAGUGCAUGUAGUCAGUGGUGUAUGGAACUCGCAUUGUGCCUGCCUGCUGCCAACGAAAUAUGCAAGCCCACACAGAGAAAACAGUUUUGUUGUGCGAAACUUCAUGCUGCUGGCAGGGUUUACAUGCAAGUCACAUAUUGUAGGUCUACCAUAAGCAGAGCGAUGUGACAUCUGAUAAGUAACUCACAGCAACACAUACUCUACAUGUCCAGGGAAAGUGAGUUGUGCUCGGAACAGAUUGGCCAGACAGUUUUGUCCUAUCAAAUUCAGAAUUGUUUCAUCCUCCUCACAGUUGCCACUAACAUCAUGAGCACACAUUAUUGCUAGAUCUGAAUGCCAGCUGCCUAUUGCACCGCUGGCACGUAGUUGGAGACAAAGGUGCCGCCAGUUUUCCACCUCGCUGCUGAUACAAUGCAAUACUGCUACAAAAUGUCCGUGUUCUGUGUUUUUAGUGUUGUAUGUUUGUAUAUGAGUUUUGCGUCGUGUGAACAUUACCUACAUGAGUUUAAAGUGUUCCCGCGAAAGUAGGUACUGAAUUAGCUCAAGCCAGCAUUGCGUUGCGGAUAUAUUUGUAGGCCAUACAAUGUUUUAUGGCGUCAUUUACGACACUUUCCUGUUUUUCUUGUCGUUGUAUGCACGUGAGUUGUGCCGCAUGUUGCGCUUGCAAAUCAUGUUCUCAAUGUCAUUUUCUUUUGGUACAAUUGGUCACCACUACACAUCACUCGCAUACACUCGCCCAAGCAAGUCGGAUAUCAAUCACUGUCCAGAAGUGCAUGAUGCAUUCAACCACGCAUAGAACACUGGCACACCAAGAACAUGAACUCACGCAAAAACGAGAGGGCUAUCACACGACUUCGCAUUGGACACACCGCUAUCACACACAACUACAUCAUCACAAGAAGCCCGAGACCGAAAUGCAACACCUGCAACACUUUCAUCACUGUCAAACAUCUGCUACUCACAUGUCCACAAUACCAACACCACAGGACACACAUACAAACAUACUGCAGAGACGCCAACAUCCCACUAACACUCACAACACUGCUCGGGGACUUACACCCCGAGCUAACAACACUACUCAUCCACUAAAGACACAACACUGGGCUGAUCAAUGACCUGUAAAUCUCCUCCCCUAGAGCCAAGGACAAAAAAGCCAAAAAAGCCAAAAAAGAAGCCAAAAAGAAAAAACAAUAUUCAAAACAAUGAGAAUCAAAAUAAAAGACCCCAGAAUGGCAAAAUGGCAAAAAAAAAAACAAAAAAAAUAAUAAUAGAAGGGGCAAUCCGGCUACCCGGGAGGAGAUAGCUAGGAACCCAGUCCCACCCCUCAGCCCACCCUUACGAGCCAAGAAGACGACGGACACUUCAAGACAACGGACGGACCAACAACGAAGACGGACGACAGAACCGGGCCCAAAUACAGGACGCUGUGGUGGCCCGUAAGCUACAAAUACCAUACCAUACCAUACCAGUGCAUCAUGCAGCAGAAGAAGCUUCAUUGAACACACUCGUCAUCAUGAACGGCAUCUAGGAGCUUCAUGAGUUUGGAUCUGUGACCAGUUGUUUUCGCAGUAUUCAAUAGCAACCGUGUAUGACCAGGCGCCGCUUGGACGCCUUGUCCAGCCACGUCUUCCGGGACUGUGUGAUGACUGCCUCUGCAAUCUCAAGUGCCAGUUUCUGCCUCCGGCCUAUUUCUUUAUCAAAGGAUGUUGGUAACUGAACGACCAGCUCUGCUCCAAGAUUCCAAAUCGCUUUACGGUAUUGUAUGCCUACAAAACGUUAAUAUUUGCUGGACGCGUUGAUGCCCGAAUAGGAUGACCUUUAUUCCUAGUUACUGGCAUUCAACGUUGAAUCAAUUACGCUUCUAGCCUUCUGUUUAUUGGCUUUACGUACUUUUUAUUAAUAUUUAUCGUGUGUCUAGCCUGCAAUUCAUUUUACUCACCACCAUCGGAUGUCACAACUAUACUCUUGUAACUACUAUAUACAACUAUAAGCUAUAAGCAACUAUUCGCUGACUUGACAUAUGAUAUUUUCGCGACGACUCGUUUCGCCCUUCCGCCAUGUUAACUAAUCAUCCGUUACAUCUUUAUGUCAACAGGUAUAGUACAAGUCAUCCUUACCGUCGAUACCGUAGAAGAUUUUGCCGUCGACCACGGAACACAUAUUGUACUUCCCGUUGCUGGCUGAUUUCGCAGUAUCCAAUGGCAACGUGUAUGACCAGGCGCCGCUUGGACGCCUUGUCCAGUCACGUCUUCUGGGACUGUGUGAUGACUGCCUCUGCACUCUCAAGUGCCAGUUUCUGCCUCCGGCCUAUUUAUUUAUCAAAGGAUGCUGUUAGCUGAACGAACAGCUCUGCUCCAAGAUUCCAAACGUUUUUACGGUGCAUUACCAGUCGUCUUUACCGUCGAUACCGUUGAAGAUUUUACCGUCGAUCAGGGAGCACCCAUUGCGCUGGCCGUUGCUGGCACUUUUUUAUUUGUCACUAGCUAUUAGUUAUCUGCAGAUAUACAUUGGCCACCUGUGCACCCGCUUACACAAGCUCUCAUCAUCUAGUUCUACGUAUGUCUGUGUUUGUUUUAAUUGAAUUGCCAAUGAAUUCGGUAGACAUGCUCCGCCCGCAAACAUGUACCACAUGAUGCAGUCCACUGAAUGUAGCAGUUAAUCACUCGUAAAAAGCAGUCAUGUUUUCGUAAUAGUGUAGGUUUGCAUCUAUGUAAGCAUGUGUUCACACUCAUGAGCGAUCCACACAUGAUAUUGCAUUUCCUGCUCAGUUGCAUUUUUAGCACUGGAACACGAUGCUCAUACACUGCGUUCUUAUCUUUCUUUUUUUUUCGCCUGCUCCUUCCUCCAACUUGUGUCUUUGAGUAUUUCAGUCACAUGCUCAAACGUUCUAAAUGUUCUCGCCAUCGGUUUACGCAUGCGUUGAAAAC